rnacentral:rRNA from 1 species
UAGUCCUAGCUGUAAACGAUGAGCACUAGAUGGGAGGGGGCUUGCCCUGUCCGGUCGCAGCGAAGUGAUAAGUAACCCACCUGGGGAGUACGUUCGCAAGAAUGAAACUCAAAGGAAUUGACGGGGGCCCGCACAAGCGGUGGAGCAUGUGGUUUAAUUCGAUGAUACGCGAGGAACCUUACCAGGGCUUAAAUGUAGUAUGACAGGUUUAGAGAUAGACUUUUCUUCGGACAUAUUACAAGGUGCUGCAUGGUUGUCGUCAGCUCGUGCCGUGAGGUGUCAGGUUAAGUCCUAUAACGAGCGCAACCCCUGUUGUUAGUUGCCAGCGAGUAAUGUCGGGAACUCUAGCAAGACUGCCGGUGCAAACCGCGAGGAAGGUGGGAUGACGUCAAAUCAUCACGGCCCUUACGUCCUGGGCCACACACGUGCUACAAUGGUAGGUACAGAGAGCAGCCACUUCGUGAGAAGGAGCGAAUCUAUAAAACCUAUCACAGUUCGGAUC